UACGUAGGGUGCGAGCGUUAAUCGGAAUUACUGGGCGUAAAGCGUGCGCAGGCGGUUGUGCAAGACAGAGGUGAAAUCCCCGGGCUUAACCUGGGAAUGGCCUUUGUGACUGCACGGCUAGAGUGUGUCAGAGGGGGGUAGAAUUCCACGUGUAGCAGUGAAAUGCGUAGAGAUGUGGAGGAAUACCGAUGGCGAAGGCAGCCCCCUGGGAUAACACUGACGCUCAUGCACGAAAGCGUGGGGAGCAACAGG
rnacentral:rRNA from 1 species